GCCAUAUCAUGUUGAAACAUCGGCUCUUGUACGAUCACCGAAGUUAAGCAACGCCGAUCCUGGCCAGUACCUAGAUGAGUGACCGCUUGGGAAUACCAGAUG